rnacentral:rRNA from 1 species
UACAGAGGUCUCAAGCGUUGUUCGGAUUCAUUGGGCGUAAAGGGUGCGUAGGCGGCGGGGUAAGUCAGGUGUGAAAUCUCGGAGCUCAACUCCGAAACUGCACUUGAUACUGCCUUGCUGGAGUACUGGAGAGGAGAUUGGAAUUUACGGUGUAGCAGUGAAAUGCGUAGAUAUCGUAAGGAAGACCAGUGGCGAAGGCGAAUCUCUGGACAGUUACUGACACUGAGGCACGAAGGCCAGGGGAGCAAACGGG